UACGGGGGGGGCAAGCGUUGUUCGGAAUUACUGGGCGUAAAGGGUUUGUAGGUGGCUUGUUAAGUCAGACGUGAAAUCCCUCAGCUUAACUGGGGAACUGCGUCUGAUACUGGCGAGCUUGAGUGCAGGAGAGGAACGCGGAAUUCCAGGUGUAGCGGUGAAAUGCGUAGAUAUCUGGAGGAACACCGGUGGCGAAGGCGGGUCUCUGGGCCGUAACUGACGCUGAGGAGCGAAAGCGUGGGGAGCGAACAGG
rnacentral:rRNA from 1 species